rnacentral:rRNA from 1 species
UUAUUAUGAGAGUUUGAUCCUGGCUCAGGACGAACGCUGGCGGCGUGCCUAAUACAUGCAAGUCGAACGCUUCUUUCCUCCCGAGUGCUUGCACUCAAUUGGAAAGAGGAGUGGCGGACGGGUGAGUAACACGUGGGUAACCUACCCAUCAGAGGGGGAUAACACUUGGAAACAGGUGCUAAUACCGCAUAACAGUUUAUGCCGCAUGGCAUAAGAGUGAAAGGCGCUUU